AUGUCACCAAGCCAAGUGAUCACCGACAAGCAAGCAACCACCCAUCAUGGAGAGAAUAAUGAGAGAGCGAACCACCAAAAAGAGAGUGAGUUCCACAAGCCCAAAUUGAGUGCCUCCACGAUGAAUGACAAGAAAAACUUAGUUCUAUUCGCUACCAAAAGUGAGAUGAGAGAAGUGUGUGAGAACCCAUCAAGUGUUAUGCACUAUGUCCUUUUGUGCAAGGAUGAAGUGGCAAGGACUAACACCUCUCACAAUCUACCUUUAGUCUUGUCUUCUCUAUUGCAGGAAUUCAAAUAUGUAUUCCCCGACGAGCUACCUCCGGGUCUACCUCCUCUUCGAGGCAUCAAACACCGUAACGACCUCAUCCCCGGAGCACCUCUUCCUAACAAGGAUCCAUACCGCGUCAACCCCGAGGAAACUAGGGAGAUCCAACGGCAACUUCAACAACUCAUCGACAACGUCCAUGUACAAGAAAGCUUGAGCCCAUGUUUUGUCCCGGUAAUCCUUGUUCCAAAGAAAGAUGGUACAUAUCGCAUGUGUUCUAAUUGUCGUCCUAUCAAUGCUACCACUGUUCAUUGUCGCUACCCCAGUCCACGCCUUGAUGACAUGCUAGACAAACUUAGUGGAGCCACAAUUUUCUCUAAAAUUUAUCUUAAAAGUGGCUACUAUCAAAUACACAUCCAAGAAGGUGAUGAAUGA
rnacentral:rRNA from 1 species